AGAUUUUCUAAAUCUUAAUUAUAAACUUGAAUAGCCACUUGCCAAAUUUUAAAAGUUUCAAUUCAAAGUCAGUACUUUUGACUGAACUUCGAAUAUAAUACUCUUAUAAAAUACUUAAUCCUUCAGCACUUUCGUGUCCUUUAGUGUCUCGCUCUUACUACAGCGACAUUCUAUAAUUUGAAUAGUGUCCUGUGAGCAAAUUUCUCAUAACGGAAGUGCUGACGGGUUAAUUUUCCAAAAGUCUAUUUAUGUAUGGGAAAUUUAAAUUUUUAUUUCUAAUUCACAUUUAUAAAUUUACAAAAUUAAAUUUUCACGCCAAAUAGUACAACUCUCUUACAUUGUAUAUUAUUUAAUUAUUUUAAUUGAAUUUUUUACAGCUGUUUAAUAAGUUUUUCUGAAGAUGUCAAAGCUCAUGAUCUUACUUCUUUUGGUGGCAUUGUUAGCGGCUGCGACAAAUGCCCAGAUGACUGGGGCGUGCUCCGAACUUGGUGAAUCGUGUUGGUUUUCAAGUUGUUGUGCGGGAAAGUGUAACAUGUUGUUGAGAUGUGAAUAAAUUAGUAUUUCCGCUUUAAAUUUACACAAUUAUAUUUUGAACUUUAUAUCUGAGUAAUAACUUAACAAUCACUUUGUCAAAAAGGAUUAAACUGAAAAUAAGAAAUGAAAAACUAAAUUGAUAAUUUAUAAGUUGAAUAAAAAUUCAUAAUAAAAAAAAAUUAAUUUAUAUACAUAAUUAAUUUAUUAAUUGAGGUGUGGACUUUUGGAUUUUCCAACAAUUUUUUUUCAUUAUUAGUAAAAGAAAAUAAAAAACGGUUUGAUUAUACUGCAGAUCUCAAUUUUCAAAGUAAUUAAAGAAUAAUAAAAAAUAUCAACAGAUGUUACUUUUUUGUUGUGGAAGUUUUUAUUUCUGAAAAAGAAAAAAAAAUUUUAAGUUAUCCUACCCUCUUCUUAUGUCGUAUACCUGGAUGGCAUGCAGGUCAAAGAUAUUCCCAAAUACCACCAGGACUUGUAACUUCUGCUAUUUUCAUAAUUUCUUGUUAGAAUGCUCGAGUUUUAGGGAUCAAAAUAAAGUAUUCCAUCUUAAUAACAACUUUUUAACCCUUGAAACUAUUUAAAUUUACUUUAGAUCAAGUGAAUAUGAUAGUGGAGGAAGUAGUUUUUGAAAUUUCAAGUUCUAACGUGAUUAGAAUGCAUUUUUGUAUUAGGGAGAUAUGACCAAUAAGAAGAUAGCAUUUUAAACUACCAAGAAAGUAUCACUAUUGGUAUGGUACAUAGUAGUCUAAGUUAGAAUAUUUAAAAAAAAUAUAUACAUAUGAAUACUAAACUUGAUAUUUUUCAGAGUAAUAAAUUCUGUUUGUUACUAAGUAUGAAUUUGCAUCGAAUGUUACAGAAAAUAAAAUUUAAACAAAUUCAGUCCUCAGUCAACUAUAAUAUGAAAAGUUAAGUUAUUUACUCAAAGUAACAAUUUUUUCCAAGGUAUACUAGUGGAUUCAUCGGUAAAACAUUCUGACUCAUCCUGCUUUAUUGUAUACACAAUUGAUCCUACAUACAUGUGUGAUCCAUAUCCCAAUGUCAUCUGAUCCUUUAGAAUAUCAAAGAAUGGGGAUCUUGGAGUGGAAUUUUUUCAGGGACUUUUCGGAAUACUUCUUACAUUAUCAUACUUUCCUAGUUGGAAAGGUCACGCUAAUAGAAAUAAAAAUAACGAGGGGCGUAAUUAUCAGUAAUAAAUAAUCUCUGUUACCUUGAGAGAGAUGACAAAUCUUUUAGAUGUUUAGAAAAUUAACUUCUUCAUUUAUUAUAUUCCCUUGAUGAAAUGCCUUACAUUUGAGGAUUAAAAACUGACCUAAAUAAUGAUCAUUAUGUUGUUCAGAAAGCAGAUAAAAGAUCAAUUUCUUGAGAAUAAUAUAUGAUAAUGAUAGAAAUGAUGAUAUGUAUGAAAAUUUAAGCCAGAAGUCAUUAUUUUGGACUUUUGUAUUAGGAGAAAAUAAUAUAUAAGAAGAUAUAGUACAUAAAAUUUUCAGAAAGGUCGAGAAAAAGGGCGGAUCUUUUGAAAUGUGUUUACAAAUAACGUCUUUGUAUUGAAGGUCGUCGACCGAAGAGCUCAAUUGUAAGAGUAUUAUUGUCCAACACAAAUUUUAUUUCAACAAUUGCACACCUCGAACGCGAAGCGGAUUGUGUUUUACUGUCACCAAAUUUAAGAACUGAGUUUCGGUCGACUUCAAUCAUCUCCACUAAUUUUUUUAGC